rnacentral:rRNA from 1 species
UACGAAGGGGGCUAGCGUUGCUCGGAAUCACUGGGCGUAAAGGGUGCGUAGGCGGGUCUUUAAGUCAGGGGUGAAAUCCUGGAGCUCAACUCCAGAACUGCCUUUGAUACUGAAGAUCUUGAGUUCGGGAGAGGUGAGUGGAACUGCGAGUGUAGAGGUGAAAUUCGUAGAUAUUCGCAAGAACACCAGUGGCGAAGGCGGCUCACUGGCCCCGAUACUGACGCUGAUGCACGAAAGCGUGGGGAGCAAACAGG